UGGCCGCCAGUGUCGGGUAAGCCUAAGACAUCUGCUUGUCCAAAGUAGCCAUGAACGGAGAAGACAACGACAUUGUAUAUGACCGGAAGCCUACUGAAAAAAGCUUCCAUGUUUGCAGGAUCAGGUGCUUGCAUUAUCUCAGAAAGUAUCCUCAUCGUUUCCCGAGUUCUUUCUGCAUUAUCUCCCCACCCUUUCUCAAAUCCCCAUUCUUUAAGCCUGUAGAAUGUGCAAGUUAAAGAACAAAGUUAAAUUUGAAUUUAUUUACUUUUUUCCCUUCUCAUUACAGGAUAAAGAAGAUGAGGUCAUUACUUCUGCUCAAAAUUCUGGUAUGGAGUUUCCUUUGGCAUAGCAGAGACGAAAACUUCUCCGAUUACUAAUGCUUCUUGAAGCUUCAUAACAGUAUCAAUAGUCUCAUUGAUCAUAAGUUUCUGCAAAAGGGAUUUCCAAAAAAGUUAUGGAUCUAAUAAGCAACUUUUCAAUCUGCAGGUGGUGACCUUCAAACUCCCCUACCUCUCCGUUUCGUUCAAGAGUUAACAGGUAAUCAACCAAAGGCUUCGCGCUCUCAGGCUUCCCACCAAGCACCGAGGUCAUGAAUUUAGAGACGUAGCCGAGCCCAUUCCCAAUUGAAGACGAUAGAGUCAGUUUUGGAGUGCCAAUAUCAAACACUCCAAAAUCUAUCUCUAGAGAAUUUUCAUCACUUGCCCUGCGUCAAAAAAAAGAACAUUAUUUGUUGAAACUCAGAGAAAAAUCCUCUACAAAUAUCAGGUACUUACCACUUCUCAUCAUAGAUCAUUUCUUUGAACUUCAAAUAAUCUGUUGAUGUGAUUAUUUCCACAGAAAGGCUGUCUCCUUCCACCUUCACAUAGUCCCAAAUACCAGGAUUAUGCCUUACUGCAAACGCAACGUAUGGUGGCACGACUGCUGCUUCCUGCAUUUCAUUAUCGAAGGCUGAAUACCAAGUAGUUGCUAGCAGAGUU
rnacentral:lncRNA from 1 species